rnacentral:rRNA from 1 species
UGGGCAACCUGCCCUCAGCUCUGGGAUAACUCCGGGAAACCGGGGCUAAUACCGGAUACGACCUUCCCUCGCAUGGGGGUUGGUGGAAAGUUCUUCGGCUGAGGAUGGGCCCGCGGCCUAUCAGCUUGUUGGUGGGGUGAUGGCCUACCAAGGCGACGACGGGUAGCCGGCCUGAGAGGGUGACCGGCCACACUGGGACUGAGAUACGGCCCAGACUCCUACGGGAGGCA